GUGGGGAAUCUUGUGCAAUGGGCGAAAGCCUGACGCAGCCAUGCCGCGUGAAUGAUGAAGGUCUUAGGAUUGUAAAAUUCUUUCACCGGGGACGAUAAUGACGGUACCCGGAGAAGAAGCUCCGGCUAACUUCGUGCCAGCAGCCGCGGUAAUACGAAGGGGGCUAGCGUUGCUAGGAAUUACUGGGCGUAAAGGGCGCGUAGGCGGACAGCUUAGUCAGAGGUGAAAGCCCAGGGCUCAACCUUGGAGUUGCCUUUGAUACUGGCUGUCUUGAGUUUGGGAGAGGUGAGUGGAACUCCGAGUGUAGAGGUGAAAUUCGUAGAUAUUCGGAAGAACACCAGUGGCGAAGGCGACUCACUGGCCCAAUACUGACGCUGAGGCGCGAAAGCGUGGGGAGCAAACAGGAUUAGAUACCCCAGUAGUCC
rnacentral:rRNA from 1 species